GUGCUCACUUCGGCAGCACAUACACUAAAAUUGGAACGAUACAGAGAAGAUCAGCAUGGCUCCUGCGCAAGGAUGACACGCAAAUUCAUGAAACGCUCCAUAUUAAA
rnacentral:snRNA from 1 species